UUGCUCUAGAGAUAAACACUGCGGAGGUUUUUUAUGCUUUAAGAUCAACAAAGAACUGGAAAUGGAACAAAUCGUAUUCAGCACUGCGAAUGCAUAUGUUAAUUAAGUGUGACUCUAAGAAAGUAAAUGGGCAAAACAUGCUCUGAUGAACUUGCAUAACGGAACAUUCUCAAGAAAAGGUUUUAUGAGGAUUCCUUGAAACAAACAGGCUUUUUCUUAACAUAUGUUUUCACUCUGGGAGGAUCCUAAACAUUGACAUGCCAAGGUUCCAAAGCUGCCACGUAGUUAAUAUGGUUAAUUUACCAUCUGAAGAACCUUGGGAAAUUUGAUCUUCUAGUCACUGCUGACCAAAAUAAUCUUCUGAUUUAAAAUUUAAAUAUUAGGUUAAAAGGCCUGAUGCUGAUUUUAAAAUUGCCGGUUGUGGAGAUUCUGCUAUGAUUUGCUACUUAGUUUUGCACUGUGUGCAUAGUCUGAAUUUAAACAGCUUCAGCUUUUAUGCACUUGAUGUUGUUACACUGAUGUCUCCUGGAGAUUAUACAAGCUUUGAUAAAUCAAUUCAAUGGAUAUUACUGGAGCCUGGUAAUACUAAUGCCUGCCGAGUUAGAAGAAAAGCUCUGUUUGCAGACAGAAACAGUAGGAUGUGGCUGCACCUGACCAUGGAACACCACCAGAAGACAGCUUAUUUUGUUACACUCUCCUCCGUUUCAUUUUGUGAUUUUCCGAAUUGGAUACAAAAUUGGAUUUCUCUUCCCUUCUUAUUUAAAGCCUUGGUUUGGCACAGGCCUUUGGAAGACGUGAGCUUUCAUCAACAUAUUUCUUAAUCCUUGAGUUUUUCCACAGUGAGUGGGGUAUUGCAUCACAACGCAUCAGUGAGAAAAGUAAUUGCUCAAAAGGUUAAAUGCAGCUUUGUAAGUCUGAGAAUUACCAACCCAGUUUUUCCUCUGAAAACACCUCAGUAGGUCAGAAAAGUGCAUCAUCCUCACGCUUAUAAAAAAAAAAAAAAAAGAAUAAAUACCACUUCAAAGGGCAAGGUUAAAUGUUAUUAAGAUUACAUUCAAGCACAUAUUGGUGAAGCUUCUCAGGAGAGGCAAAGAACCACGGUGUGUGAUUUGCAGCAUUCCCUCUCGGAAUAGCAAAGGCACCUCCCCAGUUCCUGGGUAGGCAGCAAAAGAGGGAAGAGGAAACUCAGUCCCACUCUGGAGAUUAAGAUACAGCACAUCUUUAGUAAGAGAUUCACAAUUCUGCAAUGGAAAGGAAAGUUGUUAUUUACACUGAAUAUUUGGAAAAGCAUAAGGUUGCAGGGUUGUUUGUUUUCAGGGCAACAUUACUUACUCCUCAGUGAAGCCUUUACCUCGCUCAAUUUAGUGCAAUAAAAUUAUAGCCUGGUUACGAGCAGAUUUCUCUCAUGCAGGCACUGAUUCUUAAAUAAGCAAAAUCAGAUGCCUAAAAAGACAAGAUAGAAAUGCCAUGGACUGUGGGAAUAUCUUCCCUCUGACUCAUACAGCAUUUAAGUUGAUGCUAAUCAACUUUUACCAAAAUCUAACAAAGAAUUUCCUUGAGUUCAGCAACAUACUAGCUCCAGAUUGGUCAGAUAAUCUGGUUUAUAUCUGCCUGACUUGUGGAUAUGGGCGGUGGCAGCGCACUGCUUUCGUUCACUGAAGUCUGAGUUAAUGAUUUGAGGUGUCAAAUUUCCUGGUAAUUUACAGGGAAUUUGCAAAGAUCGAGGUAAAAUUUGAUGAGUGCAUCUGAGUGCACCAUUUUAACAUUUCAGGCUCAGCUGCAUAAUGGAAAAAGAAAAAAAAUAAAUGAUUGCUUCAGUGAGAAAUCAACAAAAUAGAAUAAGCUGUCAUUGCUUGUGAGUGGCACCUACGACUCCACUUGUGUUCAAUGGAGAAUCUAGCAUUAUGCAUGCAGCAGGAAUAAACUCCAGAGCGUGUCAGCACCAAGACAAAUGAGUCAUCUGUACUAAUACAUGCAGGUUUCUGCAAAUUGAUUUGUCAUUUGAACUACCCCAACAUUUUUAACAAAUUAGUGUUUCCAACAACGUAUCUGUCAUCUUUUCCUCUGCUAAAUAAUAAGGGAAUUUCCAUCUUAGCUCUUUGAGGAGAUUUAAUAUACUUACCUUAUUCAUGAUUUAUAAAGCUUUCCUUCAGAUUUCAUUCACUCUGCUGCUGAAGAUUUGUUUUUAGAUUGGCUCUUUUAUGACAGAUAUCUAUGCAUGACUUUGGAGAGAUAUUUAUGCAGAGACUGCGACCGACGUAUUGGGGAAAUAUUUGAAAUACUUAAGAGAGUGUUAUUAAUGCAGCACAGAAGAUCAAAACAAAGAAGAAACAAUUUGAAGACAUUCAAACCAACAGCUAUGUAUGUUUUAUUAUCAGAAAGAAAACACAGCCCAAAAAUUUCUGUUGUUUGCAGACUGAUAGAACUUACCGUACAGCUCACAAUGUACAAAAGAUUGAAAUUUUUAUACAGUUCUGAUUUGGGUAUCUUUAGACUAUACCUCCCCUUCAGGAACUAGGAAAUGGAAGAGAAACUCCCAAUUGUUUGCACACUGUGUUAGGAUUUUGGAGACCUGGCUUAAUAUCCCACUCUAUGUAGAGACUGUGAGCAAUUCAGAUAGAUAGCUUCCAUGUGAAAAAUAUUUCCAUUAUUCUGAUGAGUUCGAAAACUACGGAAAUGGAGGCUAUAUAAGCAAUACCAGCAGGAAAAUAUCUUUUGGGUAAGUAUUGUCCAAUGAAAGUUUCAGCACCAAAGCAGAACCAAAAUCCUUACGCAAGAGUUUGCAAAAAAAGAUCCACCAUGAACACUAGACUCCAUUGCAGGUCAAGAUUUUCAGAAGCAAAGCAAACUGUAGAAGAUACAGGAUGAAAAAUAAUUGUAAUCAUCAGUAGUAGGCUUACUCUAGAAAAAUAACUAAUAUUGGUUUUUUUUAAUAUUAAUUAAUUCUUUGAUUUGCAAAUUUCUUCUUGAGUGUUUUUCUUGCCAUGUGUUUCAAUUAAAGUAAAUUUUAGCAUAAUUAUUACAUAUGGAAGUACUGCAGAAAGAUCGUAGAGUUUGAACAUCACAAUGAGAGCACUCCAUGUGGCCAUUCUGCCACAACGGAAUUAAUAUUCCCCCACAAACCUGUAAGAAGCAUUCUUACAAUUACAUCCCUGCUAAUGAUUCCAAUCUCCUUCCUGGCUGGAUUUUUAAUUAAACAAAAGCUUUCAUGGAACUUAUUAUCAGAACCUACUCUUCUUUUUCUCUGAAAUGAUUGAUUAGCAUCACUCUGCUUGUUUUGCAACAGUACUGGCAAUCAAUAAAAGUAAUUAUGCUUAUAAUAGAGUACAGAGAAAAACAAAAGAUCUGAUGAAACUUUAAAACUUCAGUUAUUCCUCUAGCUAAACAAUAUUGCUAAGUCAGUAUCCAUAUUAAUGAUUUACCCUGCUGGCCAGUCCUACUGUUCUUAACCACUCUCCAUGCUAAUUAGACAGGCUACCUGGGGUUUCUGGCUUUUUCCGUGUUCUCUGUCACAAAACAUUGAGCACCCAUAGUACUGGUGGGUAAGAACACGCCUGUUAUCAUAACUUUGUUUUCAUUAUAUGGCCAUAAAGAAUACCACAAAAGCAAUAUUGAUCUUCAAAUUGCACAGUUGCGUCUCUGGCCAAGUCACACAUUUUCUGUCCUCAUCUGAAUGCAAACAAAUGGUUCCACAAAACGUAGAAUGGACAUGCACGUUCAUCUAAAAGAUCUGUGUGUUUUAAUUCAUGGUUUCUACUACGUGGUCUCAAAAGUUGAAGUGUUCAGCUCAUUCCGUACAACACAGACCUGCAGAAGGACCACAGCAAAAGCCCUGAAUUUCCCACAACCAAUACAUAACAUCUAAAACUCCCUCCUCAGCUGGUGGAAGAGCACACCCUCCUUCUCUCCACCUCCCUUACCUCAGCUGCCCAGAAGAGCUCCCAGACUGCUGAACAGAUGAACUAACAUGGGUUUUAAUCAGACUGUUCUCUCAGCUUGACAGGACUUCUUGUAUCUACACCUGAAUGUUGUAAGUCAAGUAGGAAUUCGUCUUUGUACAAGCUUUUGUAUGGGUACCCUUAGGUACUGCAAAUACAUACUUUUUUCUAGGACAGGUUGACCAUCCUUUAAACUGCUGAAAGUGUUUAAGUAAAAGAACACCUAAUCAUGA